GCCUGGCUGGCUCAGUUGGUGAAGUGUGUGACUCUUGAUCUCAGGGUUAUGAGUUUGAGUCCCAUGUCAGGUG
rnacentral:tRNA from 1 species